GUCGAACGUUGUUUUCGGGGAGCUGGUCNNNNGAAAUGGGCUCCCAUCCCAAGAGAGAUCGUCUCGCCCAGCUUCGGCAGUGCGUGGGCGUCCUCCCGGGGCGCUUUUCGGCCUCUGUUUGCUGGAAUAGUUGAGAACAAAGUGGC
rnacentral:rRNA from 1 species